AGAGUUUGAUCCUGGCUCAGGACGAACGCUGGCGGCGCGCCUAACACAUGCAAGUCGAACGAGAGAGAGGGAGCUUGCUUCCUUGAUCGAGUGGCGAACGGGUGAGUAACGCGUGAGGAACCUGCCUCAAAGAGGGGGACAACAGUUGGAAACGACUGCUAAUACCGCAUAAGCCCACGGCUCGGCAUCGAGCAGAGGGAAAAGGAGCAAUCCGCUUUGAGAUGGCCUCGCGUCCGAUUAGCUAGUUGGUGAGGUAAUGGCCCACCAAGGCACGAUCGGUAGCCGGACUGAGAGGUUGAACGGCCACAUUGGGACUGAGACACGGCCCAGACUCCUACGGGAGGCAGCAGUGGGGAAUAUUGCACAAUGGGGGAAACCCUGAUGCAGCGACGCCGCGUGGAGGAAGAAGGUCUUCGGAUUGUAAACUCCUGUUGUUGAGGAAGAUAAUGACGGUACUCAACAAGGAAGUGACGGCUAACUACGUGCCAGCAGCCGCGGUAAAACGUAGGUCACAAGCGUUGUCCGGAAUUACUGGGUGUAAAGGGAGCGCAGGCGGGCGAUCAAGUUGGAAGUGAAAUCCAUGGGCUCAACCCAUGAACUGCUUUCAAAACUGAUUGUCUUGAGUAGUGCAGAGGUAGGCGGAAUUCCCGGUGUAGCGGUGGAAUGCGUAGAUAUCGGGAGGAACACCAGUGGCGAAGGCGGCCUACUGGGCACCAACUGACGCUGAGGCUCGAAAGUGUGGGUAGCAAACAGGAUUAGAUACCCUGGUAGUCCACACCGUAAACGAUGAUUACUAGGUGUUGGAGGAUUGACCCCUUCAGUGCCGCAGUUAACACAAUAAGUAAUCCACCUGGGGAGUACGACCGCAAGGUUGAAACUCAAAGGAAUUGACGGGGGCCCGCACAAGCAGUGGAGUAUGUGGUUUAAUUCGACGCAACGCGAAGAACCUUACCAAGUCUUGACAUCCUGCGGCGAUGCUAGAAAUAGUAUUUUCCUUCGGGACGCAGAGACAGGUGGUGCAUGGUUGUCGUCAGCUCGUGUCGUGAGAUGUUGGGUUAAGUCCCGCAACGAGCGCAACCCUUAUGGUCAGUUACUACGCAAGAGGACUCUGGCCAGACUGCCGUUGACAAAACGGAGGAAGGUGGGGAUGACGUCGAAUCAUCAUGCCCUUUAUGACUUGGGCUACACACGUACUACAAUGGCGUUAAACAAAGAGAAGCAAGACCGCGAGGUGGAGCAAAACUCAGAAACAACGUCCCAGUUCGGACUGCAGGCUGCAACUCGCCUGCACGAAGUCGGAAUUGCUAGUAAUCGCAGAUCAGCAUGCUGCGGUGAAUACGUUCC
rnacentral:rRNA from 1 species